rnacentral:rRNA from 1 species
GACGUAGGUGGCGAACGUUAUCCGGAAUUAUUGGGCGUAAAGGGUGCGUAGGCGGCAUGAUAAGUUAUUGGCGGCAAAUCGAGGCUCAACCUCGUGGAAACUAAUAAUACUGUCUUGCUUGAGUGCAGAAGAGGUUAACGGAACUCCAUGUGGAGCGGUAAAAUGUGUAGAUAUAUGGAAGAACAUCAAUAACGGCGAAGGCAGUUAACUAGUCUGUUACUGACGUUGAGGCACGAAAGCGUGGGGAGCAAAAAGG